UGGGGAAUUUUGGACAAUGGGGGAAACCCUGAUCCAGCCAUCCCGCGUGUGCGAUGAAGGCCUUCGGGUUGUAAAGCACUUUUGGCAGGAAAGAAACGUCAUGGGUUAAUACCCCGUGAAACUGACGGUACCUGCAGAAUAAGCACCGGCUAACUACGUGCCAGCAGCCGCGGUAAUACGUAGGGUGCAAGCGUUAAUCGGAAUUACUGGGCGUAAAGCGUGCGCAGGCGGUUCGGAAAGAAAUAUGUGAAAUCCCAGAGCUCAACUUUGGAACUGCAUUUUUAACUACCGGGCUAGAGUGUGUCAGAGGGAGGUGGAAUUCCGCGUGUAGCAGUGAAAUGCGUAGAUAUGCGGAGGAACACCGAUGGCGAAGGCAGCCUCCUGGGAUAACACUGACGCUCAUGCACGAAAGCGUGGGGAGCAAACAGG
rnacentral:rRNA from 1 species